GCCCCUGUGGCGCAAUCGGUAGCGCGUAAGACUUGCAAGUACCCCUUACCAAUAACACAACCUAUGAGUCUUCCACUAACUGUCUUAAAGCUAGAGAGUUGAUCUUAAGGCUGUGGGUUCGACCCCCACCAGGGGCU
rfam:Aspergillus brasiliensis CBS 101740 unplaced genomic scaffold ASPBRscaffold_11, whole genome shotgun sequence.